GAUAAAUAUCUGGCUGGUGAUUUUCGAAAGAUUCGUUUGGAGAGCCGAAAAAUAAAACAGUGAAAUUUUCAGUAUCUUCAUGGAAUUCACAUAUGAUCACUUAUGAUUAUUCAUUUUUUCUUCAUAAGCCACCGAAAAAAUAGCCGUGGAUAUUUUACUCCUAAAUACAACAGUAGCCAGUUGAAGAAAACAAAAAAAAUAAAAACAAGAUGAUAGAGAGAAGUAAUUAAAAUAACGAAUAAUUUCAAUUUAGCAAAUUCAGUUCUUUUCUAUCACUUAUUUUUGAGGUGGUUAAACUGUUUAAAUGAUACCGGCAGUCAUUAGAAGGUAAAUACAGUAUUAAGAGCGAAAAUUGGAACAUUAUCCAAUGAAAGUUCCUUAAACAAUGAUGAAGUGACAUUAAUGUCUUGAAAUAUUGGACCGAUAAUAGAACAACAGAAACAACAAUACAAAAAAAGUCAAAGAUUGCCAGACAACUAUCAGAAGGCAAGCGCGAGCAAAGCUGGACAGAAAAAGCGCGUCGAGGAUGCGCUCAAAGCCUCACUGAAGAGCUUUGAGAUCAGCCCCAAUUCAUGAGAAAUGCAAGCACAAGACGGCUCUGCCUGGCGAAGCUACACCAACAGAAGUACAACCUCCUUGCGUUCAAUCCUCAGAAAACCAACAGAGUCCGACUCUGCGACAGAGGCUUUCGAGCACACAUUGGACUGACUGUCCACAACCGGACACACUGUGCCCCGCCUUCUUCUCCCAUAUGAUGUCCUUUGUCAUCGACGGCGAUGUCGGAUUACGUAAACUGGUCCAAAUAUUCGUCUCAUUAGAUUUAUUCAGAAUACCAGAGCGAUAUUUUCACUGCUUUACCCUGAAAGAUACCUUAUAAAUUCUGGGUAACUUAUUGUUCAGAAUAUAGAAUUAAAAAUAAAAUGUUUUUCUAUAAAAGAUAAACACGUAAUUGGAAACAACACAUUAGUAAAAAGACAAAAAAAAGGACUGAUACUUUGUAAACAAAUAACUAACUGAUACGUGUAAGCAAAGACGCUUGUAUGAAUCUUUUACAUAAUAGCAUUACAAACUCCUGCAGCAAAUUAAAUCAACAUAUACAAUGAAACGUAUAAACGGAUUCGCAAUAUAGCGUCAAAGAAAAAAAUUAAAUAUCACUAUAAAAUCAUCCUUAUUCUCACUGAAGGUCUAGAAGAACCAUUUCGAUAUCUUGCCAAAAUUAUAUAUGUUUUCUCUGAGAAAAAUGUUUUUCGAAAAACGGUCUCAGAAUAAAUGUUGAACUAACAGCCUACGCAGUUGAAUCUAGAAAAAAAUAUACUUCUUCAAGUAAAUCAUGGCCUCAUAACAGAGGAAAAAAUAAAUUUAAUUAUGAAUAUACUUUAUUGCUGAAACCUUCAUUUCGUCUGUCACACUUGGGUCGACUUUCUUGAAUGGUGUUACUUAUUUCCUAGUAUGUCAGCCGUAUGCCCGGUCGAGCUAAACAAAAUCUUAUACACAUAGGCGUGUAGACCCACAUUGAUACUAUAAAAUGAACUUUCGAUUUCUUUCAACAGAAACAGGCCUGAUAGUUUACAAGUUUCGGCUCUAUCAAACUAGCCCUUUUUUUUCAAACAUUGAAAUCGCUCUUUCCUACUUUCUCAA